GAGGCGCCCGGCUGGUUGCUAGCCGCCGCCACUCUCCCCUGCGGACGCCUCUUUAUUGUCACCCACGGCCGAGGCCAGCCCCGUGGGGCCCCGGGUGGCUCUGCAGUCGUACCCGCCAGGCCGAGCCCACGAGCCCUGCGCCCAGGCCGGCCCGCGCAGGGCCAGCCUGGUCCACCAUGAAAGGUUCACGGACCAUUAGUGCUCCCCCCGAAGGCAGCCCAGAAGGUAUGGACUUGAGUCUGGUUGGGCUCCCUCCACCCGUGUCCCAGCGGCCCAGCAGUGCCUCUGCUACCAAGUCUAUCGUCCGAUCUGUGUCUGUGGUCACGGGCAGUGAGCCAAGGAAAAGGGCAUUGGAGGCCACGGGGCCUGGGGGCUCUCGGGCUAUCAACAAUCUUCGAAGAUCUAACAGCACCACACAGGUCAACCAGUCAUGGGCCGGCUCCCCCAGGCCAGCAGAACCCAGCGACUUCCUGAUGUUCUUUGAGGGUGGCACCAGUGGAAGAAGGAGGGUGGCCAGUCUCAGCAAGGCACCCAGUGAGAAGGGAGCCUCGUGGAAUGUUCUGGAUGACCAGCCUAGGGGCUUUGCUUUGCCAGCCAAUGACCAGAGUCCCAGCACCCUUGACUCUGCCUUGGGCCCACGGAAGAAGGAGUGUACCCUGGCUCCCAGCUUCACCGUUAACAACAGGAGCAACAAAGGCGCUGUGGGCAACUGUGUCACAACCAUGGUACAUAACCACUAUGGCUCGUUGAAGAAGGUGUCACCCCCCAAGAGCUCCAACCAGACAGCCCCCUCCCUCAACAACCUCAUCAAGGCUGCAGCCCGCGAGGGCAGUGAGGGCAGCGACUUUGGGAAGCCUCGGAAGAACUUCUCUGGCGGCAAUCACUCCAUCAGGGGUGCCACCUGCCUGCUGAGGCGGAAGGAGGUGACCGAGGAGGAAGCUGAGAGGUUUAUCCACCAGGUAAACCAGGCCGCAGUCACCAUCCAACGCUGGUAUCGCCGCCAGGUACAGAGGCGCCGUGCAGGAGCAGCAAACCUUGAACACCUGCUGGCGUCCAAGCGAGAGGGGCAGAGGCAACGGCUGGGUAGCGGGAACCUUCUGGACCUACACCGGCAAGAGGAGGCGGCAAGGAAGAAGGCCCGGGAGGAGAAGGCUCGCCGGGCCAGGCAGGCAGCCAUUCAGGAACUACAGCAGAAACGAGCCCAGAAGGCCAGCGAGGCUGAGCGCAGGCUGCCUAAAGACAGACCCGAGACCAGAGCGCUAGGACAGCCUCCACCCACCCAGGAGCCACCAACGCCAGGCAGCAGCGGCACCCACCAGGCCCCCAAGGCCAACAAUGCUAAUGCCAGCAUCUGCCCCACAGGCCCUGGAGACCCUUGCCCUCCUGUCUCUGAGUCAUCCCCAGAGCCCCAGCGGCCUCCAGAGGACAAGCCACAGGACGUCCCUUCCCAGGAUGGAGCCAGAGAGGACUUGGGAGUGCUGGGCACUUCCAGGAGCAAGGUCAGGGCCAGAGCUACCCUGGAUGAGCUGCUAGACACACUGAGGCUACUGGAGGAGGAACCUGAACCGCUGCCCCGCCCCAAGACCUAUCACAAAGACAGAUAUGCCUGGACCGACGAGGAAGAUGACACCAACUCCCUGACAGCCGACAACCUGGAGAAAUUUGGGAAACUGAGUGCACCCCCAGGCCCACCUGAUGACGGGACUCUGCUCUCGGAGGCCAAGCUUCAGAGCAUCAUGAGCUUCCUGGAUGAGAUGGAGAAGUCGGGGCAGGACCGGCCGGCGUCCCACCGGGAGGGCCUGGUGCUGGAGGCGGGCCCAAGGCCCCCUGCACUGGGGUCCGAGGGGAGCUCAUCCAUGAUGCGGCUGAAGCUGGAGAUGGAGGAGAAGAAGCAGGCCAUGGUUCUACUGCAGAGAGCUCUGGCGCAGCAGCGUGACCUCACCAUUCGACGUGUUAAGGAGACAGAGAAGGAGCUGAGCCGGCAGCUGCGACAGCAGAAGGAGCACUACGAGGCCACCAUCCAGCGGCACUUGUCCUUCAUCGACCAGCUGAUCGAAGACAAGAAGAUUCUGAGCGAGAAGUGCGAGGCGGUGGUGGCUGAGCUGAAGCAAGGGGACCAGCGGUGUCGGGAGCGCGUGGCCCAGAUGCAGGAGCAGCACGAACUGGAGAUUAAGAAACUCAAAGAGCUCAUGAGCGCCACUGAGAAGAUCCGCCGUGAGAAGUGGAUCAGUGAGAAGACGAAAAAGAUCAAAGAAAUCACAGUCAGAGGUCUGGAGCCCGAGAUCCAGAAACUCAUUGCCAAGCACAAGCAAGAGGUGAGGAGGCUCAGGGGCCUGCACGAGGUGGAGCUGCAGCAACGAGAUGAGCAGGCCGCACAGCGCCACCUGCGCCAGGCAGAAGAGCUGCGGGAACAUCUCGAGCGGGAGAAGGAGGCGCUGGGCAGGCAGGAGCGGGAGCGCGCCCAGCAGCGGUUUGAGCAGCACCUGGAGCAGGAGCAUCGGGCCCUGGAGCAGCAGCGGCGCCGGCUCUACAAUGAGGUGGCCGAAGAGAAGGAGCGACUGGGCCAGCAGGCAGCCAGGCAGCGGGCAGAGCUGGAGGAGAGCAGCGCCACGCUGACGCGAGCCCUGCGAGCUGAGUUUGAGAGGAGCCGGGAAGAACAAGAGCAGAGGCACCAGAUGGAGCUGAAAGCCCUGAAGGACCAGCUGGAAGCUGAGAGACAGGCGUGGGUGGCCAACUGUACCAAGAAGGAGGAAGCGUGGCUGUUGACCAGGGAGCGGGAGCUGAAGGAGGAGAUCCGAAAAGGCCGAGACCAGGAGAUCGAGUUGGUCAUCCACCGGCUGGAGGCCGACAUGACGCUGGCCAAGGAGGAGAGCGAGCGGGCCGCUGAGAGCCGUGUGAAGCGUGUGCGGGACAAGUAUGAAGUGGAACUCUCCGAGCUGGAGCGGUCCGAGCGGAGCCUCCAGGAGCGGUGCACAGAGCUGAAAGGGCGCCUCGGGGAGGCCGAAGGGGAGAAGGAGCGCCUGCAGUCCCUAGUGCGGCAGAAGGAGAAGGAGCUGGAGGACCUGCGGGCGGUGAACACACAGAUGUGCAGUGAACGGGCCAGCCUGGCCCAGGUGGUCCGGCAGGAGUUCACAGACCAGCUGGUAGCCUCCCAGGAGGAGAACCAGAGGCUGAAAGCAGAGCUUGCUGAGCUGCGGGCCCACCAGCAGAUGGAGCUAGAUGAGGUUCAUCAGAGGUGGGUGGUCAGGACUUCAGGUGAGGGCACGGGGAGCAGUUGGUGGGAGCAGUCACGCAUCUUCCUUUCUUUCCCGCAUAACGUAGACAUAGCCCAUGAGCAGGAGCUCACAUGGCUUCCAGCUUUGUGCUCAGGAACACGGGGUGUCACCCCCCCCCGAGUGUCACUUAGUUCAAGGGCCCACGUGUACCUCUCCAGGGAGGUGGGCCAGGGUCUUGGCUGGAGCACCCAGAUUCUCAGUCCUUCUGAGGCUGUCUGCCUAUGUGACCAAUAGAGAGUAAGGCAAAGCCAUGAGGUGACUUCUCAUCUCUCUUGGUCUGCGCGGCGCCGUGCCCAGCCCCUUCCGAGGGCCACUUUAGCAUCUGGUCUCCUGGAGACAGUGGCCCAGGGCCGGCUGCUCAGGUCAGGGUCAGCAGGGCUGAGACCAAGCGGUAGGAGACAGCCCCCAGGCUGACCUGGGACUGAGGUCGGGGGCUGCGCAGAAGCCCACUGCACAUCAUCACAGGGUGAAGAUAGCUCUCGCGAGGAAGGAGGAGGCCGUGAACAGUCUCCGGAAGCAGCAUGAGGCUGCUGUGAAACGGGCGGACCACCUCGAGGAGCUGCUGGAGCAACACAGACGGCCGUCCUUGAAUGCUAAAUGACAUCAC